rnacentral:rRNA from 1 species
AUUGAACGCUGGCGGCAGGCCUAACACAUGCAAGUCGAACGAGUGGCGGACGGGUGAGUAAUGUCUGGGAAACUGCCCGAUGGAGGGGGAUAACUACUGGAAACGGUAGCUAAUACCGCAUACCAUCGGAUGUGCCCAGAGGGGUUUAGCUAGUAGGUUGGGUAACGGCUCACCUAGUCGACGAUCCCUAGCUGGUCUGGGAGGAUGACCAGCCACACUGGAACUGGUACACGGUCCAGACUCCUACGGGAGGCAGAAGUGGGGAAUAUUGCACAAUGGGCGCAAGCCUGAGGCAGCCAUGCCGGGUGGAUGAAGAAGGCCUUCGGGUUGUAAAGUACUUUCAGAGAGGAGGCGUUACUCGCAGAAGAAGCACCGGCUAACUCCGUGCCAGCAGCCGCGGUAAUUC